rnacentral:rRNA from 1 species
UACGUAGGGGGCGAGCGUUGUCCGGAUUUAUUGGGCGUAAAGAGCUCGUAGGCGGUUUGGUAAGUCGGGUGUGAAAUCUCCACGCUCAACGUGGAGGGGCCACUCGAUACUGCCAUGACUCGAGUCCGGUAGAGGAGACUGGAAUUUACGGUGUAGCGGUGAAAUGCGUAGAUAUCGUAAGGAAGACCAGUGGCGAAGGCGGGUCUCUGGACAGUUCCUGGACGCUGAGGCACGAAGGCCAGGGGAGCAAACGGGG